rnacentral:snoRNA from 1 species
AUCCCCAGCAGUGGGCAAAAGACACCUUGUUGGUGGUGGUGUUCUUAUAUCAGUCAGGGACAGAGCAGAUGGCAGUCCUUCGUUCAUCCUAGCUUGAUGACUGGCUUUGGUGGCCAAAGCUGUCUUAUGCCUAGGAGUCAUAA